rnacentral:rRNA from 1 species
GACGAACGCUGGCGGCGUGCUUAACACAUGCAAGUCGAACGGAAAGGCCCUGCUUUUGUGGGGUGCUCGAGUGGCGAACGGGUGAGUAACACGUGGGUAACCUGCCCUUGACUUUGGGAUAACUUCAGGAAACUGGGGCUAAUACCGGAUAGGAGCUCCUGCUGCAUGGUGGGGGUUGGAAAGUUUCGGCGGUUGGGGAUGGACUCGCGGCUUAUCAGCUUGUUGGUGGGGUAGUGGCUUACCAAGGCUUUGACGGGUAGCCGGCCUGAGAGGGUGACCGGCCACAUUGGGACUGAGAUACGGCCCAGACUCCUACGGGAGGCAGCAGUGGGGAAUAUUGCACAAUGGGCGGAAGCCUGAUGCAGCAACGCCGCGUGCGGGAUGACGGCCUUCGGGUUGUAAACCGCUUUCGCCUGUGACGAAGCGUGAGUGACGGUAAUGGGUAAAGAAGCACCGGCUAACUACAUG